AUUACUGGUGCCUCAUGAGAGGAUACUACAAGUGCAUGACAAUGAUUCAAACCACUGUGGCAUCCAAGUUCAGAGAACCUUUAAUUCACCUAUUUUAGAUUGACAAAGACAGUCCAGGACUCUGCUGGGGAUAACCCCAUCCCCUCGCCCUCACUGUGGGCGGUGUGCAGGUCUACAGUAGGGUCACUAGAGGGCUCUAUAUUCUUGACAGAGUGUGUUCUUAUAUCAUCCUCUGUCCUGAUUGUCUUUCAGCUCACAGAGACACUGUCAUCUGGCAGCCUGGAAUCUGUCUGUCUCUCCCUCUGUUCACUGGAGAGAGAGUGGAGGUGCUGUUUGAUCCUGCAGGAGGUGGAAGCUGGACCUCAGUGUGUUCUGUCCAGAGCAGCACAGCCAGCUGUGUCCCCCAGUACAGAGACAGAGUGUCAGUCCGGGACGGCUCUCUGAUACUGCGCUCCCUCACUCCAGCUGAUCAGGGCAACUACACAGUGAGGGACCUUCAACACCAUCAGCACUGUGACCCUCACUGUGGGAGAUGA
rnacentral:lncRNA from 1 species